rnacentral:rRNA from 1 species
ACGAACGCUGGCGGCGUGCUUAACACCUGCAAGUCGAACGGUAAGGCCUUUCGGGGUACACGAGUGGCGAACGGGUGAGUAACACGUGGGUGAUCUGCCCUGCACUUCGGGAUAAGCCCGGGAAACUGGGUCUAAUACCGGAUAGGACUGCGCGGUGCAUGCCGUGUGGUGGAAAGAUUUAUCGGUGCAGGAUGGGCCCGCGGCCUAUCAGCUUGUUGGUGGGGUAAUGGCCUACCAAGGCGACGACGGGUAGCCGGCCUGAGAGGGCGACCGGCCACACUGGGACUGAGACACGGCCCAGACUCCUACGGGAGGCAGCAGUGGGGAAUAUUGCACAAUGGGCGCAAGCCUGAUGCAGCGACGCCGCGUGAGGGAUGACGGCCUUCGGGUUGUAAACCUCUUUCAGCAGGGACGAAGCGUGAGUGACGGUACCUGCAGAAGAAGCACCGGCCAACUACGUG